rnacentral:lncRNA from 1 species
GUAACUGUCACUUGCUAACAUGGCCAACACCAUCAUAGCCUAAAGAAUCCUUCUUCAUGGGCAUCCAUGUGCCACUUCUAUUUUAAGAUACUUUGGCCAAUCUCCAAGUAAUUUAAAGCUGAUUCAUGCUAAACAGAAUGGCCAAAACACCUUUUCCUUUCCCUUAUGUCUGUCAAAAUUCCCAGUUUCAGAAGGGGGGAGGGG